GUUUUUAUAGUUGAAUACAACGCUGAUUUUUCGGGUCAGAAGUUUUGGUUAGACUCCAGGUAAGAAUA
rnacentral:tRNA from 1 species